rfam:Candidatus Thrbacteria bacterium RIFOXYC2_FTLL_47_19 rifoxyc2_full_scaffold_163, whole genome shotgun sequence.
CUCGGUGGCACUUCCUCGUGGGUCACACCCGUUCCCAUCUCGAACACGGAAGUUAAGCCACGCUGGGCCGAUGAUACUUGGGGUAAACCAACCCCUGGGAAAGUAGGUGGCCGCCGGGA